rnacentral:rRNA from 1 species
AGUUGGUGGAGUGAUUUGUCUGGUUAAUUCCGUUAACGAACGAGACCUCGACCUACUAAAUAGUUUGGCGAAUUUUUCGAAAUUCGUGCACAACUUCUUAGAGGGACUAUCGUUUUUCUAAGCGAUGGAAGUUCGAGGCAAUAACAGGU